AAUAUACAUACCCGGCCCUCUAGUGAGGAACUCGGUGACAUAUGCAAGAAACUCCGCACGAACAUAACCCGGCCCGGGACUCGGUGAAAUGAUAAAUGACUCUAUGCACGAGUAGAAUAUUAUGAGCAACCAUAUGCAAUUAAAAUCAUUUCUUAUAACUCAAUAGAACAAUCAACGUGAACCAGCAAGGAGUAUUACCAAAGUAUAAUGUUUUAUCAAGAUUAUGAACCUUUAAUACGAUAUGAAAACGUAAAAUUUCAAUGACUCUAUGAAGCAUUACCAUAGAUAUUAGAGAUCAUCAUAGCCUUAGACAUAACCGAUAUAUAGAGGAAUAAUUGUGGAAGCAAGAAUAUACAUCACCUAGACGCUUUAGAGGUAAGUAUCAAAUCUGUCCGUUAUUCGCUUAUUUUUAAAAGUCAUGCCAAACAAAGAAAGAAGGGACAGCGUUACAUACCGUAUAAUUGAGCCGCACGUCCAAUAUUUACUGCUCAAGCUAUUAAUCUAUAACAAGCAACAAUCGUGCCGCAAUUAGAUAAACAUCGUGCUUUACUUUCUUGUAAGCUAGCUAAUAAUCUAACGGAAAUUCGGCAGCACCUCCCCUAUUUUCCUUACUUCGUCCCAAUCCGACAACAAUCCAAAUUAUCCACAGCAAUACCAAUAACACAUAUAACCCAAAGAAUCAUAUAAACAGCCCAAGCACCAACAUGACACCACUAAUAAUCCGAUUAUGGUUUCCAUUCAUACUUAGCACAUUCAAUAGCUAAAACAAACCUCCUAAGCUACUGGUCACGCCCCCUUCUUAAAAUUAAUGGAUAAUUAACAAGGGUAUUCUAAAGAAUUAGCACACCAAACAAGGAGAUUACUAACCAAAUUAUUUGCAGCUGCUAGCCAAGAGUUGCAGGGUUGGUUUCUCCAUUUCCAUGGCUGCCUAAGACAAGUGGUGAAGAAGAAGAUGAUAUGCAGCAAUGCAUCUCACCACUUUAUAUAGCAUGGAGUGGAUUUCUCCACCUCAUUUAAUAGUAUGAAGUGGAGGCAUGCCCCCUCUACACCUGUCCACUAAGGCCAGCCCACAAUCUGAUCCCUUUUUAAUUUUUGCCUUGAGUGGUGGGGCCCAUUGGAUUAAAUCAAUCCAAAUUAGCCACUAAUUAAUCCCUCACUUAAAGUUAAUGGCACUUACAUUAACCAACUCAUACUUAAUAUCACAUUUGGAAAUAACAUCCUUGCCUAAUAUUUCUUUACGUCUUCUAGAUCACGAUGCGCACUACGUAUAAAAAAAACGAGGCAUAACAUCCUUUUCCCCUUAGGAACAUUCGUCCUCGAAUGUUAAGUUAGCGUUUUGCAAAAAAAAAUUCCAGCGAGGUCUCUCUAAAAGUUAUACCUAUCAACCUGCAUUCCGUAACUUACAGAUGCCUCACAGCUACAUAAUCUCAUUAUCUAUCAAUAUAGUCAAGCUAGGAAUUGAAUUACCUGCAGGUACGGGGAACAAGUAAGGAUACUUAUUUUUCAUUUCAUCUUCCGCUUCCCAAGUCAUCUCCUCCCUAUUGUUAUUUUGCCACAACACUUUGACGGAAGCCACAUCCUUAGUACGUAACCUUCUAACCUGACGAUCAAGUAUAGCUACGGGUUUCUCCUCAUAUGACAACUCAUCUGUUUCCUGAAUAUCAUCUACAGGGAAUACUCUAGAAGGAUCACCAAUACAUUUACGUAGCAUCGAUACAUGGAAGACUGGAUGUACCGCCUCCAAAUCAGAUGGUAGAUCCAACUCAUAGGCAACCUUGCCUAUCCUACGAACAAUCUGAUAAGGCCCAAUGUAUCUCGGACUGAGCUUCCCCUUCCUGCCGAAUCUUAUCACACCCCUCAUGGGUGAUACCUUCAGGAAUACCCAGUCACCAAUCUGAAACUCCAAAUCUCGACGCCGAUUAUCUGCAUAUGACUUCUGUCGACUCUGGGCUGCUAAUAAUCUUUCUUGAAUAAGCUUUACCUUGUCAACAGCUUGCUGAAUCACAUCCGGGCCUAUUAACUUAGUCUCGCCAACAUCAAACCAACCAAUAGGUGAUCUGCACUUCCUCCCAUAUAAGGCCUCGUACGGUGCCAUCUGGAUACUAGAAUGGUAGCUAUUAUUAUAGGCAAACUCAAUGAGCGGCAAGUGGUCAUCACAGCUGCCUUUGAAGUCAAAAAUACAGGCCCGCAACAUAUCUUCUAGUGUUUGAAUAGUACGCUCAGCCUGACCAUCAGUCAGAGGGUGAAAUGUUGUGCUAAGGUUCACCUGUGUCCCCAACCCCUUCUGAAACGAUCUCCAAAAGUUGGCUGUAAAUUGAGCUCCUCUGUCUGAUAUAAUGGACGUGGGAACCCCAUGAAGUCUCACUAUCUCCCUGACAUAUAACCUCGCAUAAUCUUUAGCCGAAUAAGUAGUCCUGACUGGAAGAAAAUGGGCCGAUUUCGUCAGCCUAUCUACAAUAACCCAUAUAGAGUCAUACUUCCGUUGAGUGCGAGGUAAGCCUGUAAUGAAGUCCAUAUUAAUCAUCUCCCAUUUCCAUGUCGGGAUCUCUAUCUCCUGUAAUAAUCCACCAGGCUUUUGAUGUUCGAUCUUGACUUGUUGACAAUUUGGGCACUGAGCAACAAACUCUGCUAUGUCCUUUUUCAUGCCAUCCCACCAAUAUAAGCAUUUGAGGUCAUGAUACAUUUUUGUUGACCCUGGGUUAAUAGAAUAACGGGCAGAGUGUGCCUCUCCCAUAACUUGCCGUCGUAGCCCCGCAGUAUCGGGUACACACAAUCUGCCUUCAUAUCGUAACACUCCAUCAGGUGUAACCUUAAAUGAAGUCUUUUCCUUUUGAAGAGCUCCAUCUCUAUACUUUGCCAGAAUAGGGUCCUUGUAUUGGUGUCUCUUUACCUCAUCUAUGAUUGAGGACUUAGCAAUCUCUCGAAUAGAAACUCCACUAUCUUCCGAAUUAGCUAGACGGACUCCAAGGAUGGAUAGCCGCCGAAUCUCCCGAACCAUAUCCCUCCUUUCUGGUUGUACAUCUGUCAAGCUACCCAUGGACUUACGGCUAAGAGCAUCUGCUAUAACAUUCGCUUUCCCUGGAUGAUAUAAAAUAUCAACAUAACUAUCCUCAUCACCAAUCAUAUAUAUAAUAUACAUAUCAGGCCCUCUAGUGAGGAACUCGGUGACAUAUGCAAGAAACACCGCACGAACAUUACCCGGCCCGGGACUCGGUGAAAUGAUAAAUGACUCUAUGCACGAGCAGAAUAUUAUGAGCAACCAUAUGCAAUUAAAAUCAUUUCUUAUAACUCAAUAGAACAAUCAACGUGAACCAGCAAGGAGUAUUACCAAAGAUUAAUGUUUUAUCAAGAUUAUCAACCUUUAAUACGAUAUGAAAACGUAAAAUUUCAAUGACUCUAAGAAGC
rnacentral:lncRNA from 1 species